rnacentral:rRNA from 3 species
AGACCCGAAACCCGGUGAUCUAGCCAUGGGCAGGUUGAAGGUUGGGUAACACUAACUGGAGGACCGAACCGACUAAUGUUGAAAAAUUAGCGGAUGACCUGUGGCUGGGGGUGAAAGGCCAAUCAAACCGGGAGAUAGCUGGUUCUCCCCGAAAGCUAUUUAGGUAGCGCCUCGUGAAUUCAUCUCCGGGGGUAGAGCACUGUUUCGGCUAGGGGGCCAUCCCGGCUUACCAACCCGAUGCAAACUGCGAAUACCGGAGAAUGUUAUCACGGGAGACACACGGCGGGUGCUAACGUCCGUCGUGAAGAGGGAAACAACCCAGACCGCCAGCUAAGGUCCCAAAGUCAUGGUUAAGUGGGAAACGAUGUGGGAAGGCCCAGACAGCCAGGAUGUUGGCUUAGAAGCAGCCAUCAUUUAAAGAAAGCGUAAUAGCUCACUGGUCGAGUCGGCCUGCGCGGAAGAUGUAACGGGGCUAAACCAUGCACCGAAGCUGCGGCAGCGACACUGUGUGUUGUUGGGUAGGGGAGCGUUCUGUAAGCCUGUGAAGGUGUGUCGUG